CCAUAAUCUUAAUAUUGUGUCAUUUUUUCAGCUUGAUUGGAUUAUUUGGAUAUGUCUACUCCUGGUACUAGUGGGUCACCUGCCAGCGGUGCAACUACUGGAAUUCAAGCUGAGUCAGCAACUCAACAAGAAUCUCAAGACCACAGAUCAUCAGAGGGAAGGAUAUAUGGCAGUUACCGCACACCACAUUGAUGAUGAGUGGAAACUAAAAGGUUUCCUUUUAAGGUUCAUCUAUAUUUCAGCCCUACAUACUAGUGAUGUUAUAAGUGAUGUUUUGCAUGAGGUUCUCUUGGAUUGGCACAUCGAGCAGAAUUUGACAACAGUGACUCCUGAUAAUUGCACCAC